rnacentral:sRNA from 1 species
CUAUUUUGUUGGUGAAGUAUCACAGGGCUGGCACUUCCACCACCUCUCUCAGUAACCCAGGCUGGUUUCUGACAUUUUAUGAUCGGCGACUUAAUGCAUUUCCAGGAAAUGAAUCAUGUUAGUGGUUUGGAACAGCUUUUUUUUAGAACCCAACUACAAAUACUAAACCAAUCCUCUGUGUUCCUAAAAUAAGUGGCUUCUUUAUUUUCUUUCAUCCUUUUUCUUACCACCUUUCCAGGUUUACAUAUGAAAUUGCACCAGUGUUUGUCCUCAUGGAACAAAUAACACUUAAGAAGAUGAGAGAGAUAGUUGGAUGGUCAAGUAAAGAUGGUGAUGGGAUAUUUUCUCCUGGGUAAAGGGUCCAGUGGGAAGCCCCAGCAAUAGGGAAGCCAGCAAAACCUAUCAGGAUAUUAUCCUUCCGCUUCCUGACCUCCCUUGUCUCUUGAGACACCAGCUCAGCGUUCGUUUUUAGAAACAAUAAUGAAAGAGCCCCAACACCUCCCAAUAUGUCCGCUUGCUGACAGGGGGCGCCAUAUCCAACAUGUACAGCAUCAUGGCUGCU